GACGAACGCUGGCGGCGUGCUUAACACAUGCAAGUCGAACGGAAAGGCCCUGCUUGCCGGGUACUCGAGUGGCGAACGGGUGAGUAACACGUGGGUGAUCUGCCCUGCACUUCGGGAUAAGCCUGGGAAACUGGGUCUAAUACCGGAUAGGAGCCAUUUUUAGUGUGAUGGUUGGAAAGUUUUUUCGGUGUAGGAUGAGCUCGCGGCCUAUCAGCUUGUUGGUGGGGUAAUGGCCUACCAAGGCGGCGACGGGUAGCCGGCCUGAGAGGGUGGACGGCCACAUUGGGACUGAGAGGCGGCCCAGACGCCGACGGGAGGCAGCAGGGGGGAAGAUUGCACAAUGGGCGCAAGCCGGAUGCAGCGACGCCGCGGGGGGGAGGACGGCCUUCGGGUUGUAAACUCCUUUCGCUAGGGACGAAGCUUUUUGUGACGGUACCUAGAUAAGAAGCACCGGCUAACUACGUG
rnacentral:rRNA from 1 species